rnacentral:rRNA from 1 species
AGUCGUACGAGAAAGUUCGCUUCGGCGGAUGAGUAAAGUGGCGCACGGGUGAGUAACGCGUGGAUAAUCUACCCUUUAAUUGGGGAUAACCCAUCGAAAGGUGGGCUAAUACCGAAUAAUACUGUUUCUACCUCGGAAGAACAGUCAAAGGGGGCCUUUGUUUACAGAGGCUCUUGUUAAAGGAUGAGUCCGCGUACCAUUAGCUAGUUGGUAGGGUAAUGGCCUACCAAGGCGACGAUGGUUAGCUGGUCUGAGAGGAUGAUCAGCCACACUGGAACCGAGAUACGGUCCAGACUCCUACGGGAGGCAGCAGUGAGGAAUAUUGCGCAAUGGGGGAAACCCUGACGCAGCAACGCCGCGUGAGUGAGGAAGGUUUUCGAAUCGUAAAGCUCUGUCGGGUGGGAAGAAAUGUAUAGGAGCGAAUAACUCUUAUGCUUGACGGUACCAUCAGAGGAAGCACCGGCUAACUCCGUGCCAGCAGCCGCGGUAAUUCA